GACGUAGGGCGCGAGCGUUGUCCGGAUUUAUUGGGCGUAAAGAGCUCGUAGGCGGCUUGUCGCGUCGAAUGUGAAAUCUCAGGGCUCAACUCUGACAUUGCAUUCGAUACGGGCAGGCUAGAGUUCGGUAGGGGAGACUGGAAUUCCUGGUGUAGCGGUGAAAUGCGCAGAUAUCAGGAGGAACACCGGUGGCGAAGGCGGGUCUCUGGGCCGAUACUGACGCUGAUGCACGAAAGCUAGGGGAGCAAACAGG
rnacentral:rRNA from 1 species